rnacentral:rRNA from 1 species
GUGGCGUACGGGUGAGUAACACGUGGAUCAUCUACCUUCUAGUGGGGAAUACCCCCGGGAAACUGGGGACAAUACCGCAUAAGCUCGUAAGAGGAAAGCAGCAAUGCGCUGGAAGAGGAGUCCGCGGCUGAUUAGCUAGUUGGCGGGGUAACGGCCCACCAAGGCGAAGAUCGGUAGCCGGCCUGAGAGGGCACACGGCCACACUGGCACUGAAACACGGGCCAGACUCCUACGGGAGGCAGCAGUGGGGAAUCUUGCACAAUGGAGGAAACUCUGAUGCAGCGACGCCGCGUGAGCGAUGAAGCCCUUCGGGGUGUAAAGCUCUUUCGACGGGAACGAUAAUGACGGUACCCGAAGAAGAAGCUGCGGCUAACUACGUGCCAGCAGCCGCGGUAAUACGUAGGCAGCGAGCGUUGUUCGGAAUUACUGGGCGUAAAGAGUGUGUAGGCGGUGUUCUAAGUCUGUUGUGAAAUCUCCCGGCUCAACUGGGAGGGUGCGGCGGAAACUGGAAUGCUCGAGUGUGGGAGAGGUAAGCGGAAUUCCUGGUGUAGCGGUGAAAUGCGUAGAUAUCAGGAGGAACACCUGCGGUGUAGACAGCUUUACUGGACCACGACUGACGCUGAAACACGAAAGCGUGGGUAGCAAACAGGAUUAGAUACCCUGGUAGU